rnacentral:lncRNA from 1 species
ACAUCGUCGUCGGAUCGGAGAUGAUGAGUUCCGUCGUCGUGGAUGCUGCUGCUACCAGCAGCAGCGAGAAGAAGACGUCGUGGCCGGAGGUGGUGGGCAUGUCCAUCAAGGAGGCGACGGAGACUAUUCUCAAGGACAUGCCCAACGCGUACAUCCAGGUGCUGCCUGUUGGGUCGCCCGUGACGCUGGACCUUCGCCCCGACCGCGUCCGUAUCUUCGUUGACACCGUCGCCAUGACUCCGACAGUUGGGUGAUACAUACCAAAUGCAAUAAACAAACCCUACUUUUUAUUUUAUGUUUCCAGUUAAUAAUAAACCAG